UACGGGGGGGGCAAGCGUUGUUCGGAAUUACUGGGCGUAAAGGGCUCGUAGGCGGCCAACUAAGUCGGAUGUGAAUCCCCAGGCUUAACCUGGGAACUGCAUCCGAUACUGGAUGGCUUGAAUCCGGGAGAGGGAUGCGGAAUUCCAGGUGUAGCGGUGAAAUGCGUAGAUAUCUGGAGGAACACCGAUGGCGAAGGCAGGUCUCUGGGCUGACACCUGACGCUCAUGCACGAAAGACG
rnacentral:rRNA from 1 species